AAGGAAUUUUCCGCAAUGGGCGCAAGCCUGACGGAGCAACGCCGCGUGCGGGAUGACGCCUUUCGGGGUGUAAACCGCUGUUCGUGGGGACGAAGCACUGACGGUACCCACGGAGGAAGGCCCGGCUAACUACGUGCCAGCAGCCGCGGUAAUACGUAGGGGCCGAGCGUUGUCCGGAGUUACUGGGCGUAAAGCGUGCGCAGGCGGCCUGCCGCGCCCGGCGUGAAAGCCCCCGGCUCAACCGGGGAGGGUCGUCGGGGACGGGCAGGCUUGAGGUCGGCAGGGGCUGGUGGAAUUCCCGGUGUAGUGGUGAAAUGCGUAGAGAUCGGGAGGAACACCCGUGGCGAAGGCGGCCAGCUGGGCCGGACCUGACGCUGAGGCACGAAGGCGUGGGGAGCGAA
rnacentral:rRNA from 1 species